rnacentral:rRNA from 1 species
AUUGAACGCUGGCGGCAGGCUUAACACAUGCAAGUCGAGCGGAGAUGAGGUGCUUGCACCUUAUCUUAGCGGCGGACGGGUGAGUAAUGCUUAGGAAUCUGCCUAUUAGUGGGGAACAACAUUCCGAAAGGAAUGCUAAUACCGCAUACGCCCUACGGGGGAAAGCAGGGGAUCUUCGGACCUUGCGCUAAUAGAUGAGCCUAAGUCGGAUUAGCUAGUUGGUGGGGUAAAGGCCUACCAAGGCGACGAUCUGUAGCGGGUCUGAGAGGAUGGUCCGCCACACUGGGACUGAGACACGGCCCAGACUCCUACGGGAGGCAGCAGUGGGGAAUAUUGGACAAUGGGCGGAAGCCUGAUCCAGCCAUGCCGCGUGUGUGAAGAAGGCCUUUUGGUUGUAAAGCACUUUAAGCGAGGAGGAGGCUACCUGGAUUAAUACUCUAGGAUAGUGGACGUUACUCGCAGAAUAAGCACCGGCUAACUCUGUGCCAGCAGCCGCCGUAACAC